AGAUUUGAAGACAUUAAACUGGGACAUUGGCGUGACUGACUGAUAUAAACAGAGUCUGUCACAUCCCUGGCUGCUGUUGUCACUGGGUUGCAGAAUGAAGUGUCGUUAGUGAGUGUUAGCACAGACCAAUGAUCAACAAAGGGUUCUAAUAUUAACCCAGUUUCCUGUCUCCUGCAGUGGCUCCAUUUAAAGAAAGUCAAGUGCUUCAAUAAUGGAAUUGACAAAUGAUGGAUCUACCUAUUGAUACCAGUUUGGAUUCCCUGGGAAGUAAACUCUGAAGUGGUGAUCAGUGUGCAUGAAGCUUUUUAGGGAAGACACUUGGGACCAACCCAUGCGGAAGGGAGGGCAGAAAGCGCAGUGAGGCAGAGGGAGAAGCUGGGCUCUCUCGAAGUCUCAACAAAGGCCUCAGCCUGCCCCAUGGACACCCAAGGAUGACUAUUCAGAGUUGCUCUGAUUUGGAGCAAGGUUGUGGGCCUUCAUCCUCUUCCUUCAACCAACUGGAAA